rnacentral:rRNA from 1 species
GAUGAACGCUGGCGGCGUGCCUAAUACAUGCAAGUAGAACGCUGAAGCUUGGUGCUUGCACCGAGCGGAUGAGUUGCGAACGGGUGAGUAACGCGUAGGUAACCUGCCUCUUAGCGGGGGAUAACUAUUGGAAACGAUAGCUAAUACCGCAUAAAAGUCGAUAUCGCAUGAUAUUGAUUUGAAAGGUGCAAAUGCAUCACUAAGAGAUGGACCUGCGUUGUAUUAGCUAGUUGGUGAGGUAACGGCUCACCAAGGCGACGAUACAUAGCCGACCUGAGAGGGUGAUCGGCCACACUGGGACUGGGACACGGCCCAGACUCCUACGGGAGGCAGCAGUAGGGAAUCUUCGGCAAUGGGGGCAACCCUGACCGAGCAACGCCGCGGGAGGGAAGAAGGGUUUCGGAUCGUAAAGCUCUGUUGUAAGAGAAGAACGAGUGUGAGAGUGGAAAGUUCACACUGUGACGGUAACUUACCAGAAAGGGACGGCUAACUACGUG